rnacentral:rRNA from 1 species
GACGAACGCUGGCGGCGUGCUUAACACAUGCAAGUCGAACGGAAAUUCCCUUCUUUGGUGGGGUGCUCGGUUGGCGAACGGGUUAUUAACACCUGAGUAACCUGCCCUUGACUUUGUGAUAACUUCAGGAAACUGGGGCUAAUACCGGAUAGUUGCUCCUGCUGCGUUUUGGGGGUUUUGAAUUUUCGGCGGUUUGGGAUGGACUCGGGGCUUAUCAGCUUUCUGUUGGGGUAGUGGAUUACCAAGGCAUUGAGCGGUAGCCGGCCUGAGAGGGUGACCGGAUCAAUUGGGAUUGAGAUGCGACACAGACUCGUACGGGAGGCAGCGGUGGGGAAUAUUGUAUAAUGGGAUGAAGCCUAACGUAGCAAAGCCGCGUGGGGGAUGAGGGCAUUCGGGUUGUAAACCGCUGUCGUCUGUGACGAAGAGUGAAUGACGGUACUGGGUAAAGAAGCACCGGCUAACUACGUG